UCUGUGACUGUGAAAAGGAGUAGUUUGGGUUUGGGUGAGGCUGAUCUUCUCUUUGAGCUCAUGGUGAUGAAAGAGUCGUUGUGGGUUCAUUGGUUAGAUUGGUACCUCACUAUGUGCUGUCAACCUGAUUGUCCCUUCGAGGUGAUGCUACGUCUGCCCAUCGUGCCUUUGACGGCAAGACGUACGGAGCGUGUUAUUACGCGUUUCCGUUAUGGAUUGCCGUUUAAGUGCUACGAUCUGGUGCGCAGAGUUUCAGCCCCUUUGCCUUUACAGGCCUGGGCCUCUACUCCGUAGCAUUGCUUCGUCGGAUUACCCUUCGUUAGGCAGGCAAGGCGUGUUGUCUGCCUUGAACAUAAGACUCUAGGCGUACCUGAGCGCUCAUGUCCACUGCGAAUACCGCAGGCCUUGGUUGGCCGCGGGGGGUGUGGUGGACAAAGAAGGAGAUUCGCACCUCCCCACAAAAACAAAAAAAAAAAGAAAGAAACUCUUGAAAGUUCAUCUCGUGCCGGGGGGGGAUUACACGGUGUUCCACGACCUAUGAUGUAGCUACACCUUGUUGGUACAACAAUGUUGUUCAGCUAGAAGCCUCCUGUCUUUUCGUCUCGACAACUGCACUGCCAUAGGCGGAGGAAGGUGCUACGGUCUCGCCGGUGGCGCUUGCACAAUCCUUCCUAUCGAAUCCUAUUCUACUCUGUUCUGUUCUGCUCCGUAGGACAGAGGUGCCAGGUCCAUAGGAGACAAAGCUCGGAUGGUUACUCGUUUUGUGCCGCUUCAUCCGUGGCCGUUCGUUCGUUGGCUUCCGCGGAACAGGGGCGCCGCUUUCUGGCCGAUGGUCUCUGAUAUCCGAUUGAGAGUCCGAAGCCUUAGUCAGUCGUCUAGUUGCGAGGGGAGUUUCAAACCUUCAUGCAUGCUGCUGGGGCGCAGCCACCGUUCAAGCUCUAGUUAGCGGUCGCAGUUGGUGUUAGCACAGUUUAUGAUCAUCCCUUUGUCCCGCCUGAACAAUCGAUUUGGCGGGAAGAGUGCCGGAUAUGACUUAGGUGCAGCACCUGCACCCACGAUUGGUUAUCUGUAUUGAACAAGUGCGAAAGCGGCUUCAACCUUCCCGGCGAACUCAACUGAUCGUACCCGCGUUAUUUCAAGUGUAAACCAAUCAGUGAUUUGUAUUGUAUUUAGAACUAGAGUCCUUCUCGGCGUAGCUACUGCCCUUUCUCUUGCUAGCUAGUGAUCCUAUUAUUUACGAUGCUAGGCUCGGCUUGCCAGUCCUGCCCGGGGAAUAUGCUGGGCUCGGCGCUUCUGCAAGUGCUUCGGUACCCCUGGGCUUAUCAAAGAAAUGUCGUGGGGGGGGCCCCGGGGCAAGGGGGCGAAUAUUCUCGAUCGUGUAUAAUAUUAAGGGCCUGGACGAAGCGAACUCCUUCCGUAUGUUUGGCAGCAGCUCACUUAGUAACUCAUUCUGUGCCACUACGGCAACUCUGAGUAAACGGGAGAAUAAAGGCCUCCCCUUCCCCAUUCCAUUUAGCCUUUCACUCAUUGAGAAGCACACAUCACAAACAUUCAUCGAAUUCCCUUGCUCGGAGGGCCUACACAUACAGGUGGAGAAGCACUCGGUUCAGUCCCCUGGUCCACCUUCAAAAUAAAAGCCCUUGGCCCAGCCGUACCCGAAGAAGCGCUUGGCUCAGUCGUCUUGUCUGGAUAAUUUGCUUAGUAGGUUCGUCAAGCCCUGAUUUGCCCGAAUCUAUCGAAAUUCCGGUGAGUAAGAUCAUAUAGAAAGAAGGAAUUCCUCUUUAUCGAUAAUGAAGCUCUAUAAUACGAUGCGGUUCAUUUUGAGUGGUUCCUUUAACUUUAUUGAAUUUAAUAGAAGGGGGGUUUGCAAAGCCCAGGCGAAAUCCGGGCGGUGAGAGAAAGGAAGUUUGCCUCGCUCGUGUGCGGCUCAACAAUGGAGUUCACUUAAUCGAUAGCGAGAGAGUGGCCUCGUAUACGACUCCUCUUCCUCGCCCUAACAGGAAAGACCAGGGCUCCGCGAAAGCAUAAGGAUCCAUUGACAUCAACUCGGGCCGUUAGGCCUAUGCUCGUGAUAGCGGCCAUUCGUCUGUUCGCCAACCCCACUUUUUUGGAUUGGAACCAGACCUCCGUACCUCGGCGUUGGGAGGGCAGGGAAGAACAAACCAUAUAAUAAGCUAGCUUGCCUAGCGAGCAUAAAAGACCUGAGCUUUGCGAACCCCCCUAGCCCUUUUUUGUGAGUAAGUGCGAAUUCCCCCUUUUCUCCCUCUUUCUCACUUUCCCUCAC
rnacentral:lncRNA from 1 species